GACGAACGCUGGCGGCGUGCUUAACACAUGCAAGUCGAACGGAAAGGCCCUGCUUUUGUGGGGUGCUCGAGUGGCGAACGGGUGAGUAACACGUGAGUAACCUGCCCUUGACUUUGGGAUAACUUCAGGAAACUGGGGCUAAUACCGGAUAGGAGCUCCUGCUGCAUGGUGGGGGUUGGAAAGUUUCGGCGGUUGGGGAUGGACUCGGGGCUUAUCAGCUUGUUGGGGGGGUAGUGGCCUACCAAGGCUUUGACGGGUAGCCGGCCUGAGAGGGUGACCGGCGACAUUGGGACUGAGAUACGGCGCAGACUCCAACGGGAGGCAGCAGUGGGGAAUAUUGCACAAUGGGCGGAAGCCUGAUGCAGCAACGCCGCGUGCGGGAUGACGGCCUUCGGGUUGUAAACCGCUUUCGCCUGUGACGAAGCGUGAGUGACGGUAAUGGGUAAAGAAGCACCGGCUAACUACGUG
rnacentral:rRNA from 1 species